GGGGUAUAUAUAUUUUCAAACCCAACAAAAAACCACUCCAACGUAACAUGAUAUGUUAGUGCCUUAGUGGUUACCAAUUACCAUCAACAUCUUUUCUUCUUUUUGUGGAGGAUGAUGUUGAUAUCAGGAAUCUCUCUCUAGUUUACACUCUAGCUGGAGGUAAACGAAAAAAGUCUAGUUUGAUUGCAGUGAUUGUGCUGUUGAUGCGUCGGUGGUGAAUGCUGUAAAUGAAGGCAUUGAAGCAGCAAGAGAGAUUGUUUACCUUCGAAAGCCUUGGGUUAUGAUCAGUUUUAAUGAUGAUGAAGAUCUUCACUUUCAUAAAGCUGGGCAAUCUAGGUUUCAGUUGUCAACCCAAGAGAUGGACAAUUAAUGACCAUGUAAGGAGCAUGAGCUCUGUGCCUUCAUCUGAUUGUGAUGCCAAGUUCAGUGAUUCCAAGACAGUUAAACAGUGUACAAAGCAAAUCCAAUAGUAUCUAUCAUAUGGAUCGGGAGCUAGUAAACCAGCUGGCUGUCGAAUUGAGUUCUAGGUGAUUAUUAAUGCGUACAGGCUAGCUUACCUUAUGCUGGAGAUUCAACUAUAUCUUCGAUGAACACAAUGGCGGAACCUCGUCUGGCAUGCCUCAAUUAAUGCAGGUGUUCCCUAUGUAUUUCCAUCCAUUAAAUAUGAUUCCAAGACAGUUAAACAGUAUAAGUAUCUAUCAUAUGGAUCGGGAGCUAGUAAACCAGCUGGCUGUCGUAUUGAGUUCUAGGUGAUUAUUAAUGCGUACAGGCUAGCUUACCUUAUGCUGGAGAUUCAACUAUAUCUUCGAUGAACACAAUGGCGGAACCUCGUCUGGCAUGCCUCAAUUAAUGCAGGUGUUCCCUAUGUAUUUCCAUCCAUUAAAUAUGAUUCCAAGACAGUUAAACAGUAUAAGUAUCUAUCAUAUGGAUCGGGAGCUAGUAAACCAGCUGGCUGUCGUAUUGAGUUCUAGGUGAUUAUUAAUGCGUACAGGCUAGCUUACCUUAUGCUGGAGAUUCAACUAUAUCUUCGAUGAACACAAUGGCGGAACCUCGUCUGGCAUGCCUCAAUUAAUGCAGGUGUUCCCUAUGUAUUUCCAUCCAUUAAUCCAUCCAUUAAAUAUGUUUCAAAUACCAUCAUCAUAAACCAUAAAUAGCCUCUGAUAACCCUUAUGAUUGAAGUUGGAUGGCCGUCCCAUGAGUGGAGAUAUUGGCCGAGGUGCCACAAGGGGAUCAAUUGCAUUCGCUCUUUGUUUGCCUGCUGUGAAAGAUAAGCCUGUUGUCCACACAGAACCACUUUGCUGUGCAUUUUUGACAACCGUUCAUGGUUUAUUUUGCACCGUUUCCGCUUCCCACUCAAUCAUACAAGUAAAGUUUGUAUUUCACCUUUAUAUGAUGUAGGUUUCUUGCAAUUGGCUGGUGGCACAAAUUCUCACCCGGUUGAAGAGUUGAAAAGGGAAGGGCUUUUCCAAACAACACUAGUUUCCAAGAAUUCAAAGGAUAGGAAAUUAAUGUCUACUCUACCUGCUUCAUCACAUGCUUUAGAAGGUGGAAUAACUUACAGCAGCUAUGCAUGCAAGUAACUUCAGAUUGUUGGAAUGGUCUUGAGCAAUCACAGCAUGGCUUGUUCGUAUAUAGGAUUAUCCAGGGCAGCUCUUGUAAGCACUUGCAAUAGCCCUUGGUAUGGUUGGAACUGUCAAAAUUUAUGGUCCCGUUCUAUAGGAUUACUGAAGCUUCCUGGACUGCGAAUUCACAUUUCCAGUAACUUGAUAAGUUUAUAUAUGUGGUUUUGCAGCCUGUGGUUGUGGUUCUGCUAUAUUGCCUGGGUCUAGAGUAAAGGUAUAGACAACUCAAUCCAGCCAUGAUAUAUAAACCAGACUUGGUAUAUAGUAAUCGAUGCCGCCCGUAUUCCUUGAAUCUUGAAAACAAAAGGAAUGAUUAGAUACCUUACACUGUCACUGGGACAACGUUGCGGUCCAUAUAGUGUUGCUGAUAAAAUUUUAAUUAAUUGAAUAGCCAUUUUGACCAUUUUGUAAACCUGAACUAUCCUUUUGAAUUCAAAUAGUUGAUCGUGCAUCCUGAUA